GUUGCCAAUGAUGGGAGGAUAAGAAUAUUUCCCUAGUAGGUCAGGAUGAAUCUAACUCCCUAAGAGAUGUAAUAUAUCACCUUUUAAAACAGUACUUACCCGCUGCUAGCUCAGCUCUUACAACACCAAUAUGUAUAAAUUUAAACAGAUUUAGUCGAGUUUACCUUGUAUUAAUUCGAACCGCACGCGAAAUAAGAACACACGAUAAACACGAAUAGUGUAUUAUAAUUUUGGAAUAAAAUUACAACACGAAACUUAAGUCUAAAACAUAUAAAACUCUACGCGUAUAACCAAUAUAUAUUCCACCAAAUAGUGGCGUAAGUAGGAUCGCUUUUACCCACCUACGUGUAACUAUCAAAUUGCCCGCGUUGGGUAGCGAAUUUAGGACUUAAGUUUAAACGCGAAUACUCUCCCUUAAACACGAACGUUAAGGCAGAGGACCUGGGACUCAAGCACAACUCUUACGUAGGAGUGAGUGGCCUUAUUACUUUUCCGCGGUCAGACCUACCAGACGAAGCGCGAAUCGACAAGUGAAGAUCAAUUCCAUCUCAACUUGGCUUCUAGCCUCGAGUCGAGAAGGAAUUGAGCUUUACGAACUUGUGAGCUUUUCACAUCUGCCCUUAAUGGAACGAUGUGAAAACAUCUCUUGGGUGGUUCCCACGUACUUAACACCUUACCUAAGUGCAUCGAGUAUAUGCUUUCAUCUACGUAAAGUACUGUAGAAUCGAACUAUUGAUUGGAUUCUCCAGUACUUCCUUUAGAUGAAAGAUUUAUAAUCCCACUGAGAGAGAUACGAUGAAUAUCCCUGUCUAGCCAGUGAAGGCAUAUUGUCCCCUUACAUUUGCCCCUAACGUGGGUUUACUUCUAAAGUAUCCCCUGAGGAAAUGUAGAGGAAAGCACGGAAAUUUUGAAAAAAGGUGACAUUGUGCUUCACUGGAUGUGACCCUAUUGCCCCCCGUACUUUGCUUGAGUGAUGCGGGGAAUAGUAAUCCCAAAAUAAAUUUUGAAACUCUUUGGUUUUUAUUAUAAUUCCAAAAGUGAGGUGAAUUUUGAGUGUGCUGGUGAGUUGACUCUUACUGACCAAGAGUAACAACAAUUGAUCAUCAAUAUUUGACCGAAGUCGAAGAUAUCAAUAAACCAAUCAGAUGCUACCUUUGAUCUGGUCACUCCACAGCAGGGUCAUGGCCGAAAUGGUAAGUAUUUAAGUACGAUUUAAUCUUUGAGGGGGAGGGUUAAUCUAAAAGGUACCCUUCCUCAAUUUUAUGAUUUCAGGAGAAGAUGAAAAAAGCUCAAGAAGUUCGUGGUUGUUUGGCUUUGUUGUCUUUGGAUAAUCUGACCAAGAAUUUUUGAAGAAAAAAUUGCUGGUAAGGUUGGCUUGAGUAUAGCUAUUGUUUUUACUAAAAAUUUUGAAAAAUGGAUGAUUUUCUAUUGGAAAAUCAUUCAUUGAAUGAUUUGAGUAGAGUUUUUAUAGUUUAAUAAAAAAAAAAUUGAAAAAAGAAAAAGUUCAAAAAAUUUUAAAAAAAAAUUCUAAAGGAAAAAUUUUAUCAAAGUUUGAUGUAAUAUUUGAGCAUUUGAAAUGUUCAAAACUGAUCAUUGAUAAGAAAAAAAGAAAAAAAAAGAAAAUUAAAAAAAUUUGAAAAAACUUUGAAGAAAGUGAGUUAUUUUUCUAUUAGAAAAAUUGUCAUUUCUUCAAAAUCCAAAAAAGAAUUGUUUUUUAGGGAAGUUUGAAAAAUGAAAAAAAUUAUUGCGGAAAAAUGAAUUGUUUUUCUAUUUGAAAAAGUGUUCAUUUUUCAAAAAAAAAAUUAAAAUUUUGGCAUUUGGAUUUUCUGAUAGAGGGCUAAGUUUUUAGAAAAAAUUGCGCUACCUUUCUGUUGUACACGGAGUUCGGUUGAAAGCGAAAUUACUUACCACCACUAUUCGAUGAAACAUAAAACAAAUUAGAAAAAAUUUUGAAAAAAUUUAAAAAAGUUUAAAAGGAAAAUAAAUUUUUAAGAAAAAUUAUAAAAAUAAAUAGGAAUGUACCUAAACAAACUUAAUUCUAAGCAACGUUGUUUUUCUUCUUUUUUAUUUGUUUAACGUUGUUUUAUAGUUAAUUAAGAAUAAAUUAAUUUCUAGUCAGUCUUAUUCCUCAUAGUUAAUUUCAAGUUUUUUCUUCUUCUUUACAGGUGUAUUUUGGUCAACGACGAUGACAAGAGAAUUACUUUGUUUAUCAAAAACUAAAGAUAAGUACAAAAACAUAUUUACAUUUUUAUUAAAUAAUGUAAAAUUUAAGAGCAUUUUUGUUUCUUAGGAUUAAUCAGUCUAAUUUAAACACAUGAUCGAUUUAAAAUAUCUGUACAUUUUUUAUUUCUAAAAAAAAAUUUUAAAGUUAUGAAAUAAAUUAAAUAAAAAAUGUUGUUUUUGUUUAGGACCAGUUCAGAGAAAGAUGGGUGAAACUUAAAAUAGGAUUGAGCCAAAGUUGAACCAGUCUGUUGGGAUAUUUUUCGUAUUUACAAUAAGUAAGAAGACAAAGAAGAUUUCCUUAACUAAUAAUGCACAGAUCCUUUUUCUUGGCUCAUGGACUUCUUUUCCAGGAAGACAAAGAUAGCUAGAUUUUUGAAAGGAAUGUUAUCCGUCUACGGUCUGAGUCAACAUGGCCUUCUGUGCCCUGAAUGUGAUAUCUUUGUUAAAAAAUAAAAAAAAUUAAAAAAGAAUUUUAAAAACAAUAAAAUUAAAAUUUUUGUAAAUUUUUGGAAAAAACUUUUUGAAUUUGAAUUUUUUGAUUCUGUAAACGUAUUUUACGUUAAUAUAAGUUUGUAUAAAAAAAAAUAAAAAAAAUGAUUGUAAACAUUCAAAAAAUAAAUUGAAUUUAUUUUAAGUUUGUAAAAAAAAUUUACAUACAUGUAUUAUUGUAUUGUAGUUUUGGAGUACAAAUUUUGUAUGUUUGUAAAAAAAAUUUAAAAAAAAAAUAUUUUGUGCUAUUUUAUAACCUAAUUAUACAAAUGUAUAGAUAAAUUAAUGCGUAGAGUUUUUUGUAAUGAGAAAAAAAAAAUUAUCAAUAAAUAUUCAAUAAAUUACAUCUUAACUUUAUUUACAUUUUUGUAUGUUCAUUUUUUCUGCUCUACGGGUCGUUUUAAUGGUCGGAUCGAUGAAUGGAAAAUGGAAUUUAGGUUGACACAGUUUUUUAGGUGGUUUUGGCGGUUACUAGGUUACUGGUGAAGGUCGUGAGCGUAACGGUAC